CUCUUGUUGCUCACCUUUAAAACAACUGGCAUUUAUUGUAUGGACACAAUUUGUCUGGACAAAGCAAUCAUCUCUAGAUUUGGCUCCCAUCGACUCGGAACGGGAACCAUUGCAAUUCAGGCUUUCCAUCAACUUUACGAUACAUAGGGUUCAAACGCUGGACUGGGAUAGAGAAGAGAUUGAAAGGACAGUUACUCUGGAAGAAGUACGUGCCAUCAUUUUUCCAGAUAUCGGCCUGAAACUGACACCCAUCUACACUGAUACCCAUGGAUACCUGAAGGACCUGAGUGCUGGCAUCAAACCUAGGACAUAAAAUGUGUGGGCUUUGGCAAUAUUCCCAGUUUCGGGAAGCAGGACUUUUUGAUUUGAGGGCAGUGUUGGUGACAAAGGAAGAUGAAACGUCUGAAUUAACAGGGAGCUUUUAAGGACUCGAUCUCCAGAACCUCCUGGGAGACCACAUGACUGGUACAUCUCAAUCCUCUGUGAACUCAGUCUCCCAGGAUUCCCUGAGAAAUCACGUCUCACUACCAGCAGCAACCAGUUGCCGUUCUUGCCCGUCUGAGUAUUGAUGA